AAGAGUGAAGAGUGGAGCUUUAUAAAACCAUUCAACAAUUGUCUUUUAAAAAACAACCAAAUAAAUAUUUUGAAAAACAACUACUGGAAGAUAUCUCCUGAUUCAGAUUUAUGAGCAAGACAAUCGUGCUUCAAUGGUCAAAGUAGCUCUUCUGAGUGUGUUUCAUCAGCGACAUCAACGCCAUGUGGGUCAACAUCACUGAAUGAAACUGCUUCAAUACGAAAGCUUACAAGUGAAGAUAUAGAUAGAAGAGAGAUUUUGAUGGCGAGUAUGGUUAUCGAAUGAUUGAACUUUCAAACCUAGCAAGUGCAUUUCAGUCCUUGCAUAAUUGGGAAUUAGGUGGAGAGUUGAAAGUUACCAAUGAUGAGUCUCGUAGAUAUGGAAAUAGCACAGUCAUUGUUGAGUCAGAUGUUGCAGAGAUUGCUGUUCUUGACUAUGGUUUUGGAUCCAAAUUAUCGAAGUUUGACAUGUUUAUCUGAACAGCCAGUUGUCAAAAGAUGAAGUAGAAAUAUUUUCUUAAAGCUGUGACAGUUUAAUAUCGGUUCAACUAAUUCAGUU